rnacentral:rRNA from 12 species
UUGUUUAUCUGGGGCGGAUACCUUCAUUAAAGUAACGAGGGUAAACAAAGGCAUACUAAAAGUGAACUAUAAAGCUGUGCUUAACUGUGAGAAACACUAUUCAAGCAGAUGUAUAUUCAUAAAUGACUUAUGAAGAAGCAGGUAGUAAUGAACGGGUUUAUUUUAUUAAUAAAUCUAUCAACGGACAAAAGGUACGCCGGGGAUAACAGUAUAAGAU